GCCGCUCGUCUGCUGUGGCGCUGGUGAACAUCGGCCCGGCCGGGUCCAAACCUGCAGGGGUCAAAGGUUUGCACCCACAAAUCCUGCAAGGUGAGCUCCCAGACUGACGCCGAUCAGGUGGACUGAACUCAGAGAGGCUCCUUCCUCCUGCAGACGCAACAUGCACACGUCAGCGUUACAUGCAAGAGAACAAGGAGUCCCAGCAGCAGCUGCAGCAGCACAGUGCCAGACUUCAUCCUUU